rnacentral:rRNA from 1 species
CCUACGGGAGGCAGCAGUGAGGAAUAUUGGACAAUGGGCGCAAGCCUGAUCCAGCCAUGCCGCGUGCAGGAUGACGGUCCUAUGGAUUGUAAACUGCUUUUGCACAGGAAGAAACAACAUUACGUGUAAUGUCUUGACGGUACUGUGAGAAUAAGGAUCGGCUAACUCCGUGCCAGCAGCCGCGGUAAUACGGAGGAUCCAAGCGUUAUCCGGAAUCAUUGGGUUUAAAGGGUCCGUAGGCGGUUUAGUAAGUCAGUGGUGAAAGCCCAUCGCUCAACGGUGGAACGGCCAUUGAUACUGCUAGACUUGAAUUAUUAGGAAGUAACUAGAAUAUGUAGUGUAGCGGUGAAAUGCUUAGAGAUUACAUGGAAUACCAAUUGCGAAGGUAGGUUACUACUAAUGGAUUGACGCUGAUGGACGAAAGCGUGGGUAGCGAACAGGAUUAGAUACCCUGGUAGUCCACGCCGUAAACGAUGGAUACUAGCUGUUGGGAGNGAUUACUAGUGUGUAGACGAAGUAGAGUAAGUAGUACCGACCGUCGGGUAAGGUACGUUCGUUCGAGAAGUUAGUUAACGUACGAAGAAGUUAGUACGGACGUUGAGACGAGCGACGGACGACGACGAGGAGGAGG